CUUGGCGACCAUAGCGUUUUGGACCCACCUGAYYCCAUUCCGAACUCAGAAGUGAAACGAAAUAGCGCCGAUGGUAGUGUGGGG
rnacentral:rRNA from 1 species